UUCUCUAACUAACUACACUAGAAGAGAACCAUUCAUUCAAUUUAUCCAUUACCUUGAUAUAGUACAAGAUACUGUUAUAAGAAUCUAGAUAGAUUCUUUUUUUAAGAAAAACUUAAAUCGGGUUGAUGCCCAUUUCAUAAACAAAAAACAUAAUAGAGUUUGGUCAGGACCAAAAGUGACCUGACUCGGAUCCACAAAUAGAAAAUAUCUAAUACAACAUUUUCAGACCACUAGAUCAAUUUGGAAAGUGCAAACUUUAUCAUUUGUUGCCUCUUCAUCUUCUCCGACAUCAAGCCAUUUCUAUGGUGCUCUGACCAUCAUCAUCUUUCUCUCCAUCACCUCAAAUGUAGGUUUUAUACUCAAGGAAAUCACUUCUAACACCAGAUUUGAAGAAAGAUAGAAGUUGCUCUACCUUCUGCAAGUUCCAGGUUCCUUCUUCUCUAAAACUUGUAUGAAUGUCUGAAUAUUAACAUAUUAAAUAUUCAUUCUUGGUUUUUUGUCUGUACACAUUUUGUGUAAGCUGAUCAUUAACUUUCUGAUAGCCUAUCUGAUAUUAAAUUCUCUAUACUUUUAUACGAAUUACUGAUGUUGUUUCUUCAAAUCUCUUGCGUGAUUUUUCAUAUAUUAGGAGUUCUAUUUUUGUCGAGCUUAAUAAUUACAUGUCCUUCCCAUGGCACCUAUUCUAGGUUUUUAUAUCGAAAAUCACCUGCAAAAUCAAAAGCUACGUUAGCAAAAAAAAUCAACUAGAGCGUUACCUUCCUGAAGGGAAUGUACCGUUCUAACUGAUAUAGUUUCCAUUAUAGCUUUAAUGGAUGUGACCACGAUUGCCACACUCCAUGGAACCUCCUAAAGUAGAUUGAGUAUCUGCACCAUUGCCCAAAAACCACUUUUUAUAAUAAUAUGCUGAAUUGAAUUAGCUUUGCAGAACUGUAAGAAUUCCCUGAUGGUUAUAUCUUCAACUACCAAAUCGGUAGUGUCUUUAAUACUAGAUCUUUUAGCAAUAACUAAUCACUAUGUUAAUCUCUGACACAAAAACCAAAUGAACUAGGGCCUGGAUUGCCCUUGGAAACACCAUCAGUGUUACCCUUUAGCCAUCUAGUUUUAGGGGAAACCAUUUCACUAGUUUAAAAUAAGAUUGGUUGUUGUAGCAUCAAAGCUCAUCAAUGAUAUUGUGAUAUUUUCAACUGUAACCUCCAUUUUGAAUAUUAUUUUCAUGAACUGUAACACCUCAAAUUUUUGAUCUCUAAAAAAUUUUAGCUAUCCAGGGUACGACUUAGGUGAUGAGUCGUGAAGACUCCCCAUGAGUCAUAUGGCUCCAAUCAUUGUCUCACUAGUAAGUUGCCCAUGGUUUUUUAUCACUCCCCAAAAUGAUAUAUAAUGACAAACAAGAAUCAUAUACACUUACUUUACCAGCACUAAGUGACAUACUCAAGAUUAUGGGACAAUAACGAGCAAGAUACCUAAUAUAAGUUAUAUACAUACACAAGGGAGUUAUAUUAACAAAAUUGUACAAUAAAAUACUACAUGAUGUUCAUGAAGUAUCUAGUCAGUUUAAAAUGCUAUAUUAUAAGUGACUAGUUGGCAUAGGGACCGUCAUGCCCAACUAGAGACCUGUACAUAUAAUAAAAAAUGUUAGACAUAGGCUAGCUCUAGAGAGAGAUGGAGCUCACUAAAAUAUUAGUUGAAAAUGGUAAUAAGAAUUAAUGUGGACAUCUUCUAUCCUAAGGAUCUAAGCAUGCAUUAGUAAUAUUUGGUACCCUAGAAGGUAAGUACAUGAACAGCAAGCACAUGUAUAAAAGUUGAUAGAAUAAUAGUUGUACAAGUACAGAAGCUCAUAUGAGUCAAAUAUCAAAGUGAAAAACGUAUGAGCCAACAAGUAACACAUAAAUGAUAUGAACUAGUAACCUAUGCACUGACCUUAUUAGCAUCUUAUAUACUAUUUAGAAAAACGGUCACUACAAUAUUAGUCCUAUAAUUUGCCUAGGUGGUGUAUUUAUCAUAUAAGUCAUACAAAUGAUCACAAGGUGGCAUAUAGAAGGCAAUCUAAGGCAAGUAUAAAUCAUAUGUUGCUCACAUACUAAUUGCUAUGAUCCCAUAUGUAUAACUGUAAUCAUAGUCUGUAACUAGGUAGGACCCACUUAGGGGCUCACUAUGAGGGGCUGGCCGCGUUCCAUAUAUGCCAUAUAUUGUCUUGAGUCAGGGAAAACCAAUUCAUAAUGUUCUAGCUGACUCUAAUUACAAAUGACACCACAAAGGCGGUAUGCCUAAUGGUUAGGCCCACUAUAAUGGUCUGGUCUUGACCUUGCGCACAAAAUCAUAUCGAGCGAUAUGCCAAGCCAAACCUCUAUACCUUUUCAUCGUUAAUGUUUAUCAAAUAAUGCUUUGAAGGCCUAUAAUAUAUGAAUUAUGAUAAUGAUCGUUUAGCUAACAUAUACAAGUGUAACUAUGCUAUUACUAUUUACUUACACACAUACACACAUAUAUAUAUAUUAUGUCCUAAGGGUUUUAAGUAGAGAAACUUAUGAUAAUAUGGAAGUAUCAAGGAAACUCAACAUAAAGAGGGAAAGAUGGAUACUUAUAAGCGUGAUAGUAGAACGAGGGAAUGAUAUGUAAGGAAAUAUAAAUAUUAUACUCUCGUAUUUCAUGAGAAUUGUAUUAAUAUUAAUAGGAAUAAGCACGUGACAUAGGAUGGUGCCUUAGCGGCUAGGGAAGUUUUAUCUUUACAUACCUUAUUGCUUAACUAGCUACGAUAGCGUUCCGAUCCUCAAACAAUUAAACUCACGAAAGUAUAGCUUUUAUCUUUCCAACAACCAACUUUUGCUAUCCAAUAGGCAAUUCACUAGCUACAAGGAUAACAUAUGUGCCCAUUAGUAACCCAUAGGUGCAUUCAAUAACUUAUUUCGAUAAUCUUUACUUAUGCCCGAAAUCAAUCAAAUUCCUUAACAAAAAUCUGGAAUAAUUCUUUAGUUUCCAAUUUAUAAGUCCAACCAUAAGUUUACCCAAUUUCGAGGAAUUCCUAAUAACUCCACUUUCAUCAAUAUUUCACAUUUUCCCCAUUAUUCUCAAGAAUCCUAAAUAAGCAAACCCCUUUCAAGAGCUUGUACCAAAAUUCAAAUUAGCUAUCCCUAAAUGCGUAUUAAUACUUAAAUUCAAGAAAAGGGUAGAAAAUUUACCUCUUGGGAUCCAAUCCCAACUCUAAAUUUGAAAUUGAUUUCUUGAUGUGGAAAGAAAAGGACAUAAAACAACGAAAAUACUAGUAAUACCACUUCUUCUCAUUCCGCAACUACAAGUAAGAACCCAAUCAAUUGCUCGCUUUUUGUAAUUGUUGCAAGGAGAAAGUGAUGAAUAAGUAGAGCAAAAUACCACCUUUGUUCAUUUUUUUGUUUUUUGGCAAGAUUUCUAGUGAACUCUACUCUUAAAUCUUUCCAUUUUUACUUUACUUUUUCAACUAAUACUUAAAUAAAUUUUCUCCCCUUUUUCUUUUUCUUUCCCUUUUUGUCACGUACUAGUACUACUAUACGUAACUUUCCCAAACCAAAAAUCAUUUUUUUGUUUGUUCCCUUAUCACUUAUUUUAAUACAUUCUAGGAACUAAAGUGACCCCCACUUGAAAGUACCAAGUUAAAGUUUAAAACUUUUCAAUACACUUUUUACCUUACUAGUAGCAACCAUAUAAAUUAUAUACACUAUAGUUAUAGGUAUUCAUUGUAAUUCUUCGUAAAAUACACUCACCAUGUAACUCUUUAUAAAUUCAUGGUCAUACUUUCUUAAAUAUUAAACUUGGAUUCCAAAAUUUUUCAAGGUAAUACAAUCUCCCCUACUUAGGAUUAUUCAUCCUCGAAUGAUGCUGGUGAUUGACUUUUUAAUCCACAACUAUCAAAUACACAUCCAUAAGAUCACUUAAUCAACUUUGAUAUCACUUGACCCCAUCAUAAGAUUUUAAAAUUUGGCUAGCUCUCUAAAUAUCUAAAAUUUUACUAGAGUUUUCUUUGUAAAUAGGCCUAUCGGAUACUUUUCAGCUAGCCAGAAUACGUCCAUAUAUGCUUCACACAACGUCAUAACACAUAUAAUACUUAACAGAUAAUAUACGAGACUCCACUCUACCUUAAGCUAAAAAAAGUACACCAGGCUACUCUUAGCCUUAAAUUCAAUUUAAAGUCAUAACAAACCAUGUAACUUACCUUACAUUCUGCAUCCGCCCGUUGUUUCCAUGUAGAUCUCAAGAUUCAUAGGCACAAAUCAUAUACCUAAAUAUAUCAAUUAAGAAUCAGAUGUCAACAUAAAAAAAUAUUAUAGAAACUAAUGAUCAUAUAAAGGGACAAGUUGUUUAUAAACCUUUCUAUGAUUUUUGGAAUAAAUAUGGGUAUUUAUCUUUCAUAUCCAUUUCUGCUUCCCAAGUGGCUUCUUUUAUAUUUUGGUUCCUCCAAAGUACCUUUACCGAAGAUAUAUCUUUAGUUCUCAAAUUUCUGACUUGCUGAUCCAAAAUAGCUACGGGGUCUUCCUUAAAUCAUAGGUCUCCCGCAAGAUUUAUACCCUCCAAAAAAAUAACGUGUGAAGGCUCUCCUAAGCAUUUACGUAGCAUAGUCACGUGGAAGAUAGGACGUACUACCGCUAACUCUAGAGGUAAUCCUAGCUUAUAGGCUACCUGACCAAUUUUGUGAAUAACUCUAUAGGGCCCAAUAUAUCUAGGACUUAGCUUACCCUUCUUUACGAAUCUCAUAACGCUUUUCAAAUGCGACACCUUCAAGAAUACCAAAUCACCAAUUUGAAACUCUAAAUUUCUACGUCAUACAUCUGCAUAUGAUUUUUCCUACUCUAAGUAUCUUUAAAGUCCAGUACACAUCCUCUCAAUAUGUCUUCGAGUGUCUGAAUAGUGCAUUCAUCUUAGCCAUCUGUCUGUGGAUAAAAUGUAGUACUAAGGUUCUCCUGCAUACCCAAGAUCCUAUGAAAAGAUUUCCAAAACUGAGCAUUAAACGGUGAACCUCUAUCUUAAAUAAUGUACAUCGGGGUCCUAUGUAGGCAAGCAAUCUCUUUUACAUAUAACUUGACAUAAUCUUCAGCCGUGUUGGUAGACUUUACCGGAAGGAAAUGGGUUGACUUCGUCAAUCGAUCAACUAUUACCCAAAUGGAGUCAUGUUUUUUAGAAUAAGAAGGUAAGCCUACAAUUAAAUCCAUAUUAAUGGCAUCCCAUUUCCAUACCGGAAUACUAAAGGUUUGAGCUAGGUCACCAUGAUUCUGAUGUUCUGCUUUUAUUUUCUGACAAUUAGAGCAUUGUGCCACAUAUUCUGCUAUAUCUUUCUUCAUCUCGUUCCACCAGUAGAUCUUUUUAAUAUCAUGAUACAUUUUUGUAGAGAUAGGAUGGAUUGAAUAAUGGGAAUAAUAUGCCUUAUCCAUAAUCUGUUGUCGUAACCCAUCUAUAUCUGUUAUAUAUAAUCUACCUCGAUACCUCAAAGUACCAUCAUCCGCUAGCUCAAAUAUUGAGACUCGAUAUUGUUAAAUCCCCUUUUUGUAUUGGGAUAAUAAGGGGUUAUAAUACUUCAUCUACUUAAUUGAUGCCAUGAGCUAUGAACCGGCUAAAUUGAGUACAACAACACCACUAUCUUCGAAAUCCACAAGUCAAACUUUAAGAUUGGAUAAUUUGUGAAUAUCUCUAGAUACUUUAUACUGAAAAAGUGACAAAUAUGCUAGACUACCCAUUGAUAGUUGACUAAGAGCAUCAACUACAAUGUUACCUUUGCCUGGAUAAUAGAGAAUAUUGACAUCAUAGUAUUUCAAAAACUCUAUCCACUGCCUCAGUCUUAGAUUUAACUCAUUUUAUCUUGAAUAGAUAUUGAAGACUCUUAUGAUCUAUAACGAUAUCAACAUGCACUCUAUAUAAGUAAUAGUGUCAUAUUUUAAGCGUGAGUACCACUGCUACAAGCUCUAAGUUAUGAGAGGGAUAACUUUGUUCAUGUUUCUUCAACUGCCAAUAAACAUAUACUAUAACUCUUCCAUACUGCAUUAGGACAUAACCCAAACCAACGCUCAAAGUAUCACAGUACACCACAUAUCUUCUUGUGCCCUCUAGUAAGUCUAAUACUAGUGUUGUAGUCGAUCUAUGUUUCAAUUCCUGGAAACUUCUUUCACGAGCAUCUGACCACUGGUACUUAACUACUUUCUUUGUCAAUUUAGUAAAUAGGGCAGUAAUAGAGGAAAUCCCUUUACAAAUCUCCUAUAGUAACCGGCUAGCCCUAAGAAACUACACACCUCAAUAGUAGUGGUUAGUUGAGGUCAAUUCUUCACAGCUUCUACCUUCUAAAAUAUACUCUAAUGCCUUCUCUAGAUAUCAUGUGACCAAGGAAAGAUAUAGAGGUAAACAAAAAUUCAGACUUAAAGAACUUGACAUACAAUUGGUGCUCUUUGAGCCUCUGUAUACUGACCUCAAAUGAUCUUCAUGCUCAGCUUCAUUACGUGAAUAUAUCAAAAUUUCAACUAUAAAUACAAUCAUGUACAUAUCAAUAAAAAUUUUGAAAAUUCUAUUCAUCAUGUCCAUGAAGGCCGUUGGAGCGCUCGUUAGUCUAAACGACAUGACAGGGAACUCAUAGUGCCUAUUUCUUAUCCAAAAGGCUAUCUUGGGGAUAUCUGCUUCAUGAAUCCUUAACUGAUGGUAACAGGACCUCAAAUAGAUCUUUGAAAAGCAUAUAGCUCCCUACAAUUGAUCAAAUAAAUUAUCUAUUCGGGGAAUAGGGUACUUAUUCCUUAUUUUCACUUUGUUCAGCUGUCUGUAAUCUAUACACAUCUGUAACAUGCCAUCUUUCUUGCAUGCAAAAAGAGCUGGUCCAUCUCAAGGUGACAUAAUAGGUUGAAUUAAGCGUUUAUCAAGUAAGUCUUUUAGCUGCUCUUACAGCUCUUUCAUUUCUAUAGGCAUCAUUUUAUAAGGUGGAAUUGAUAUUAACUGAGUAUCGAGAUCUAAAUAAAUAUCAGAAUCAAUCUCUCUAAUAGGGGUAGUGUAGGAAGUUCAUCGGGAAACAUAUCUGAGUACUCAUUCACCACUAGUAUAGAUUGGAGAAUUGGUGCUUGUUUUUCAGCUUUAACACCUUUUACUUGGACUAAGUGAUACAAACACCCCUUCGCAAUAAGCUUUUGUGCCUUAAAAUAGGAAAUAAACCUCACUUUGGCUUCAUGGAAUCACCCCUCUACUCUAAAAUUGGCUCUCUUGGGAAGUGGAAAUGGGCUAUCUUGGAUCAGUAAUCAACUGUAGCAUAACAGGAGGAUAUCCAACCUAUACCCAAAAUAACAUAUAAAUCAACCAAUUUAAGUUCAAUCAUAUUAGACAAUAUAGUACGAUCGCAUACUGUCACCACACAAUCAUAUUAGUCCCAUCUAGCUAUCAUAGAAUCUCCUGCUGGGGUCAAUACUGCAAAUAUUUCAUGUAACAACUCCAGCUCUAUUCCAAACUUCUUAGUAACAAAUGGGGUAACAUAUGACAAGGAAGAUCCUAGGUCUAUCAAGGCACAUACAUUAUCUUGAAAGAUACCUAAGGUACCUGUGACCACAUCUGGAGAUACCUCUGCAUCUUUUCGACCAGCUAGUGCAUAUAUAUAGUUUAAUCCAACGCUCAAACUGGGCCCUCUGCCCCUACGAGAUCCUCUACCUACUAAUGCCUAAGGACUGUGAGAAGAAGAGGAAACUGAUGAUAAUGAGGCUGAUGCAGACCCUAUAGGCUGUGAUCAAUCACCUCUACCUUUAUCUCUGAGCUGUAGACGAUCACAUACCAGAUGGCCCUCUAUACCAUACCAAUAACACAUAUUUAAAACACAAUGACACUCCUCUCUAUAUGCUUGGACAUACUACCUACAUAUAGGUCAAGGGGGUAACCCUCGACUGGUGCCCCUUUGACGUCGUAAGUAUGGUGCUCUAGAAGUCUGACCCUUCCCAUACCUGCACCUCAAACACGGAGCUGGAGCAUUAUUUAUAGAGCGCACAGCUGAGGGUUCUACCUAGGUGUCUCUCUAUUAGUGGAAGAUCCACUGCUUCCCUAACAAUGGCUGCCCAUCCUAGCUUUCUUACUAUGUUCCCUCUCGCUAUCUACUUUAUGAUUACACUGAUCCUUCUCUAAAUGCUGAGGAUGAACCAUGAUCCUUUCUAUAUCCAAAUUAUUAUUCAUAGAAUUAACUAAAAAGGGUCCUUCAAAAAACCCACAAGGCCAUUCACAAAGCGAUGAAUCCAUGAUGUUUGUGUGCUAACCACCUCUGGAGAAAAUCUGGACAACUGUGUAAACUGCAAAUAGUAAUCUUUGAUGCUAAGAUUACCCUAAUUUAAAGAUAUAAAUUCAUCCACCCUUGCCUCUCUGAGCUCAAAUGUCAUGAAAUAAUUUAUGAAGGCUUUUGCAAAGUCUGUCCAAACUGCUGAGGGAGCUUCUUGACCUCUUGAGGCAACCCAUAUAUAAUACCAAUCAACAAUAAUAUUUUUAAGUCAAUAGGUGGCCAAUAAACUUCAUCUAUAUCUAAUACCCGCAUCACUUUACAAAUUCUAUAAGUCUCAUCAAUGAAUUAUUGAGGGUCCUCUACAAGCUUAGGACCUGUGAAUUCUGGUAGAUUCAUACGAAGGAAAUAUUUUAUCUUAGAUUUAGCUAUCCCUCCCUAAGUAGCAAUAGGUACAUCUAUAUUUUGUCUCUGGGCCUGAGCAGCCAUCAAUUGUGUAAGCAAUUGUAUCACUCCUUUGAGUUCCUAGGCAGAGGUAUUUAGUGGAGGAAUAGGACUACUGUUGGUACCAAUGGAGGUGCUGAAAUCCCUGUAGGUCCUUCCAUCCUGAGAAUUUGAGAACCUAAAAGUAUAGAACACAUCAAACUUUCUUGAGUCCUAUUCAGAUCCACCAGUAUGGGAGAUUUCCUUGUAGUAGUUGCCUCUUGAGUGGUGCUAAUAGUGGCUUACUGGGCUGCUUUAUUCUUUUCUGUGAUAGACAUUAUCUGUAUCAUAAAUAAGUAGAAUAGGAGAUAGAAGUAACUUUCUAUGACUUAGCUCUGAUCCACGAUUUAAAUUACAAAUGAAGGUGAAAUUCCUAAAUAUCCAUGUAGUCCCUUAAUUAUAAAUGUGGCACACAAUGCAUUGAUAAGUAAGAUCCUACUAAACACAUCUUCAUAGACUCCUUGAGACACCUGAACCUAGGCUCUGAUACUAUGUUUUCCACUUCCCAAAAUGAUAAUGAUGGAUUAAGAACCGUAUACACUUACUUUACCUGGACUAGGUGACUACGCAAGAUUAUGGGACAAUAACGAGCAAGAUACCUAAGAUAAGUUAUAUACAUACACAAUUAUAUCAACAAAACUGUACAAUACAAUACUACAUGAUGUCCAUGAAGCCCUUAGUCAAUUUAACACGCUAUAUUGCAAGUUACUAGUCAGUAUAGGGCCCAUCAUGCCCAACUAGAGACCUUUACUUAUAA